AUACGUAGGGGGCAAGCGUUGUUCGGAUUUACUGGGCGUAAAGGGUGCGUAGGCGGCGCGACAAGUCACUUGUGAAAUCUCCGGGCUUAACUCGGAACGGCCAAGUGAAACUGUCGUGCUAGAGUGCAGGAAGGGCAACUGGAAUUCUUGGUGUAGCGGUGAAAUGCGUAGAUAUCAAGAGGAACACCUGAGGCGAAGGCGAGUUGCUAGACUGACACUGACGCUGAGGCACGAAAGCCAGGGGAGCGAACGGGAUUAGAAACCCGGGUAGUCC
rnacentral:rRNA from 1 species